AAAUAAGAAGUAAACAAUUACACUUAGUUUCGACCUAAGCUCUUGGCUCACGCCCUUAUUUU
rnacentral:tRNA from 1 species